CCUGCCGGGUUGUGAUGAGAUGCUGAUUGCCUAGCCACAUUCCUCAAGUCAUGGACAUCUGGAGAACGAGAGGUCUUUCAUGUCUUCAACGUGAAUGAGUGUAGCUGACAGCUUCCCCACAUUCUUUACAUUAGAAAGGUUUCUCAUCAGUGUGAAUUUGAGUGUGAUGGUUAAGGCAUGAGGAAUUCUUAAAAGAUUUUCCACAGUCCUUACAUACAAAAACCUGCUCUUCAGUCUGCUGUAGUCAAGAGAUCUGUCCCGAGUGCAUGCUUGCUGGGAAACAACAUUUGGAGUAGAGCUGAAGGCUUUUCCACACUGACCCAACACGGAAAACUGCUCUCCAAUUUUGAACAAGGUUUUCUGGCAUGGAAUAAAAAAGUCCCUUUCAUAAUGAUUAGACACA
ensembl:lncRNA novel transcript, antisense to ZNF778